UCUCUUGCGGUAAGCAGAGAAUAACUGAUUCACUCAGUAUAAAAAUCCCACAUUACUAUUUGCCCUAUUCGAGCUAUUGCAUUUACAAUUUGUUUGCCUUUUUCUAAUUUAUUUUGUAAUAAAACGUGUUUUUAUUCUUCCUAGAUUGAAAGCGAUGAAGUUGGCGCGGUCGUCGUGGUAAGCAGAGAGGAACUGGUUAACACAAUAUAAUGAUCACUCUUUGCUCACUAUUUGUGCUUUUUCAGCCAUUUCAUUUACUUUUAUUUUUUGCUAUUUUUGCUCGUUUAUUCUUGUAAUAAAACAUGAUUUUAUCCUUCCUAGAACCACCAAGACGAACCCACCGGCAACAUCAUUGUGGCUCUUCCGGAGACCACCAUCUGCCUGGUUCCGUCGGUUGGUUGUGGCGACACCACCUGCCCAGAGCCGCCGACCCCUGGUACCGACAUCUGCCAGGUAAGUAGUAAAGGAACUAUUUUAUUUUCUGAGUUAAUUAAUGAUAAUGAGCUACAGAACUAUAGUAAGUUGAUCCCAUAACUAAUCGUAUCGCUCUUCAUCAGGAGGAGCCAGAGCAGGUUGCUGAGCCUGGCGAGGAGAUUGAGGUAAGCAUAAGGCUAAUAGAGAGGGAUAAACGCAAAUCAAAGUCCCUUAUCAGCCAAUCGGCUUAUUUACAACAGAAAUCAUACAACCUCGCUCAUCUUUUUCAUUUCCCUUUCUUACCCAGGAGCGCCCAGAAACA